UACGAAGGGGGCUAGCGUUGCUCGGAAUCACUGGGCGUAAAGCGCACGUAGGCGGGUCCUUAAGUCAGGGGUGAAAUCCCGGAGCUCAACUCCGGAACUGCCUUUGAUACUGGGGAUCUUGAGUCCGGAAGAGGUGAGUGGAACUCCGAGUGUAGAGGUGAAAUUCGUAGAUAUUCGGAAGAACACCAGUGGCGAAGGCGGCUCACUGGUCCGGUACUGACGCUGAGGUGCGAAAGCAUGGGGAGCAAACAGG
rnacentral:rRNA from 1 species